GAGGGAGCCCCUCCCUCUAAAAGCACUCUAUGUGGGGAAGAUGAGAGCCAGAGCAAAGCUCAGAGGAACCAACCUGGACCUGGAUCUGGAUCUGGAUCCAGCUGUGUGUCCUUCAGAAAUGAUGAAUCAAAGGAUUUACCUCCUCUCUUCAAAGCCAUCAGUUCACGAGUGGAACAGUUCGAACAGAGAUCUGGAUCUGGAUCUGGAUCUGGAUCCAGCUGUGUGUCCAACAGAAGUGACGACUCAAAGAAGUUUCUUCCUCCUGUCUUCAAGUCCAUCAGUUUAGCAGUGGAACAAGUGGACCAGCAGAGCUCAGAGACUCCCAGUGGUCUGUCUGUCCAGCAGCAUCAAAC